GCCUCACAGAGCCCAACACAUCAACACACCGCAUCCCUCUCGGAUCUACUGUAUCAUCAAUCAUCAGGUUACUCAAAUCCCUAUAUAAGAAUCUGACUUCGAAAAAUAGCCAACGCAAAAAGAAAAAUGAGCAACACGGCUUCUGAAGCUACCCAGCCCACCUGCCCUGAAAUGGGUCAAAUGGUGUGUGGGCGCUGCCGGCGUCUACUUUCUUAUCCACAAGGAGCCAAACAUGUCCAAUGCCUCCGCUGUAAGACGGUCAAUAUUGUAUUGGAUGCUAAUCAGGUUGGGCAUGUCAAGUGUGGGAGUUGUCUUGUGUUGCUGAUGUACCCAUAUGGAGCUCCAUCAGUCAGGUGUUCCUCCUGCCACUUUGUCACGGAAAUCGGAGUAAACAACCUAAGGCCCCCACUUUCUGCACAACAGGGCCAGCCGCCUCCACCUCAGCACCCUGUCCAUUAGAACAUAUUCUUCUAUUGGUGACUAGGCCAUGAUCCCGUGGUCGAUUGUGUGACUCAAUUUUGGGAUGAUUAAGAAUCCAACUCCAUUAGAAACAGUUCUGGAUGCCAAGCAAUGGGAUUUUUCUUGUACGGAACUGGAGGUGAUUUUUAAAUACAAGGACCCUUGUAGCUGCCGUGACUACAAAGCCCAAAAAGCAUGGCGACCAGCACCCUCUAGGUAGAUAGUUGGAAAAGUUGAGGAAACAUCAAGCUCAAUCCACACCAAGGUUUCAAGACUCAGCAACUUGAACCAACUAAUCCAGUCGAGCCAUGACUUGGCUGAAUUGAGACGACUCAACCCAGUCAGGCUCAAAUUGGAGUGCCAAACUGGUUUGAAUAGACCCAGCCCGAGCCACUCGCACCACAAGGGGUACUCGCGUGACCUCUUGUUGAAACUCCAGAGAGUCUACCAGUUAGACGAGUCAUCAAACAUUUGUAUGUAUCGCAUCUCCGAAUGGUGGGUCACAUCCAGUACAAUCUCUUUCUGUA